rnacentral:rRNA from 1 species
ACAAGUACCGUGAGGGAAAGUUGCAAAGCACUUUGAAGAGAGAGUUAAAGAGGACGUGAAACCGAUGAGAUCGAAACGGAUAGAGUCAGCGUAUCUGACCUGUAUUCAGUCACACAUCUGUCAGUCGUCAUGUGUUGAUUUCCAGACUGGGACAGUGUGUGGCUAGCUGAUUGUUGUGUGGUGCAUUUGCAGGUGGAGUGCGUCGAGACGCUCGGUGUGGCGACAUGAGCUCAGUUUUGAGGCCAGCUUGCUGGUACCCGAAUUGGAGGAAUGUUGUUCACGCUGAGUGGAAUUGGCAAGGCCUACGAGUCCGGUUGGGCAUCGAGCUGGCAGUCGGCGUCGGUCGCAUGCGACACGUGCUGUGCAGUCAGUUCGGUCCUAGUCGAGCUCACAAGCCUAUUCUCGGCGUAAAAGCUGGUCAUCUAUCCGACCCGUCUUGAAACACGGACCAAGGAGUUUAUCGUGUGCGCAAGUCAUUGGGCGUUGAAAACCCAAAGGCGCAAUGAAAGUGAACGCAUCCGCAAGGAGCUGACGUGCGAUCCCGGGUACUGCGGUGCCCGAGCGCAGCAUGGCCCCAUCCCGAUUGCUUGCAAUGGGGUGGAGGAAGAGCGUACGCGGUGAGACCCGAAAGAUGGUGAACUAUUCCUGAGCAGGAUGAAGCCAGAGGAAACUCUGGUGGAAGUCUCGAAGCGAUUCUGACGAGCAAAUCGAUCGACUGACUUGGGUAUAGGGGCGAAAGACUAAUCGAACCAUCUAGUAGCUGGUUCCUUCCGA